AAGGGGGGUGAGCGAGUGGAAGACGGGGGAAGAGGAGUGAACUAGUGCCCUAGCCGCCUGCUGGGAGGGGAUGGCGCAGCACCAACUGCUGGGUACCCCCCUUUGGUCCCCACUCCUGGCACCCCGCAUCCCACUCCAGCUCAGGAGGCGGCCUCUCCCAGCGGACGCUGAACCCCAGGAGCGGUGCGGGGGCGAGAUUGAGUGAGCAAUGGAAUAACCAGAAGCUAGGACACCUGGCAAAAACAAACUGAAUUCUAACUCUGAAAGAACUGAUGAGGACCUUGCUAUGCCUGCAGAGAGAAGGGCUCUCCUUUUCUAAAUGAAUUGAUGGACUUCCUGCAUUAUUAAAUAGCCCUAUUAAUCAUCAAAAACAACUUCAUGAGGGGUAAAUCACAGAAUGGAAGUCAACAGGCAGACUGGAGUAUCAGUGACAGGAAACAGAGGGAUCAGUUGGAAGACAGAACUUUGAGGACAUGUUUUAACUGUGUUCUGACAAGCAUGAAUGGAGAUCUGGAAAUCUACAUUUAUUUAAAGAACAUUUACAAGAUAAGUUGUGUAGGAGCUGUAAGGUAUCUCUUAAUCAGGUCCACUGAUAAAAAAAAUGUGAAUCCCUCUCCUUAUUUAUUAACCUCAAGAAUUACAUACUUUUGAUUGAGUAUUGAACAUAUUAAUCCAUGUUUUUCCAAGGUUAUAAACUAAUUCUUCAUGAAGGAGUAAAUGUUACUAAAAUAUUUAUUAAGUUAAAUUUUAUUUCUAACUUUGUGUCAUGUUAGUCUUUAUUCAAAUGUCUUUAUACACAGCCAAUUUAAAAAAUAAGAUAAAUUAACAAUUUCUUAGAAGUAUAGCACCUGCUGUAUUAUACAGAGCUAUUUGGACCUGAUGUUCAAUGUAGACCAACACAAUUGUCAAAUAGAGUGUACUUUUAACAAUGUAUUUACUCUAACA